UGGAGUAUAGCCAAGUGGUAAGGCACCCGUUUUUGGUACGGGUACUCAAAGGUUCGAAUCCUUUUACUCCAG
rnacentral:tRNA from 1 species